CGGCGGCACCGGCGAUGACGUAUUCAAGCACGAGGUUCCAGCCGAUGAGGAAGGCCCACAGCUCGCCCAUGGACACGUAGGUGAACAGGUCCGAACGAGCGGGGGAUCCCAGGCCUCCUGGCUGCGCCCCGGCCCCGAUUCGCCGCCGCCGCCCCUGGAGCCAGCCUCACCUUGAACGCCGCCCCGUUCUCAGCGUGGAGAUCUUAGUUCCCAACCACAGAUCAAACCUCCAGACCCCCUGCAUUGGGAGCACAGUCUUAACCACUGGACCCCCAGGGAAGUCCCAGGCUGAUAAUGUCUUCAGGAGCUUCUCAGAUGGGCUCCCACUUCCUGCAGGAAACAUGUCCGCCUGAACUUGCUCCCGUGUGGCCGGAACUGAGCAGAGUGGCCAUUCUCUCACGCGGUGGUGUAAGCACCUCGGAUUUCGGCUGUCCUAGGAAGUGUGUCAUGCUUCAGAUGAUGAAGAAUCCGCCCACAAGGCAGGAGACGGGUGUUCCAUCCCUGGGUUGGGAAGAUCCCCUGGAGAACGGAAUGGCUACCCACUCCAGCAUUCUUGCCUGGAGAGU